rnacentral:rRNA from 1 species
GUCUACGGCCAUCCACCCUGAAUACACCCAAUCUCAUUUUGGUCUCAGAAGCUAAGCAGAGGUCGGGCCCUGGUAGUACUUGGGAUUUGGAGAAAGAUCUUCAGAGGGACUGCUUUCAGAGACA